rnacentral:rRNA from 1 species
GGUCAAGUGAAGAAGCGCAUACGGUGGAUGCCUUGGCAGUCAGAGGCGAUGAAAGACGUGGUAGCCUGCGAAAAGCUUCGGGGAGUCGGCAAACAGACUUUGAUCCGGAGAUCUCUGAAUGGGGGAACCCACCUAGGAUAACCUAGGUAUCUUGUACUGAAUCCAUAGGUGCAAGAGGCGAACCAGGGGAACUGAAACAUCUAAGUACCCUGAGGAAAAGAAAUCAACCGAGAUUCCCUUAGUAGUGGCGAGCGAACGGGGAUUAGCCCUUAAGCUUCAUUGAUUUUAGCGGAACGCUCUGGAAAGUGCGGCCAUAGUGGGUGAUAGCCCCGUACGCGAAAGGAUCUUUGAAGUGAAAUCGAGUAGGACGGAGCACGAGAAACUUUGUCUGAACAUGGGGGGACCAUCCUCCAAGGCUAAAUACUACUGACUGACCGAUAGUGAACCAGUACCGUGAGGGAAAGGCGAAAAGAACCCCGGAGAGGGGAGUGAAAUAGAACCUGAAACCGUAUGCGUACAAGCAGUGGGAGCCUACUUGUUAGGUGACUGCGUACCUUUUGUAUAAUGGGUCAGCGACUUAUAUUCAGUGGCAAGCUUAACCGUAUAGGGUAGGCGUAGCGAAAGCGAGUCUUAAUAGGGCGUUUAGUCGCUGGGUAUAGACCCGAAACCGGGCGAUCUAUCCAUGAGCAGGUUGAAGGUUAGGUAACACUGACUGGAGGACCGAACCCACUCCCGUUGAAAAGGUAGGGGAUGACUUGUGGAUCGGAGUGAAAGGCUAAUCAAGCUCGGAGAUAGCUGGUUCUCCUC